CAACCUUGUAAUCGGGGGAAUCGGCCCCCGGGUAUCCACGGUCCGGCCGUAACCGGACGCAUCCAGGGAAA
rnacentral:ncRNA from 1 species